GGCAGUCGUGGUUCAAUGGUUUAAGGCUUUUGGUUACUGAUCAGAAGGUUGCAGGUUCAAGCCCUAGCAUUGCCA